UACAGAGGUCUCAAGCGUUGCUCGGAAUCACUGGGCGUAAAGGGUGCGUAGGCGGUCUCGCAAGUCUGGCGUGAAAGCCCAAGGCUCAGCCUUGGAAGUGCGCUCGAAACUGCAGAGCUUGAGUGCCGGAGAGGGUGGCGGAAUUCCCCAAGUAGAGGUGAAAUUCGUAGAUAUGGGGAGGAACACCGGUGGCGAAGGCGGCCACCUGGCCGGUAACUGACGCUGAGACGCGAAAGCGUGGGUAGCAAACAGG
rnacentral:rRNA from 1 species